AUGGGAGAGCAAUCGAACCCUGAAACAUCGAUCCGGAUGAACGCAGACAGCGAUUUUCACAUCAUAAGAAAGAAUGAGAGGGCACAUUUUUUUAGCCCCAAAGAACAAGAACUAAUUCUGAAGUUGUACGAAGAAGAGAGAGUCAUUUUAACGGCCAAAUCAAACACAACGAGCGCGUCCAAACUGAGGGAGGAGGCUUGGCAAAGGAUCGCCGACAAAAUCAACGCUGUUUCUGACAGUGGUUAUAAGAGGACCUGGCAGCAAGUAAAAGUCAAGCAUAAAAACAUCGUACAAACAGCUAAAAGAAGACGGGCCGAGUUGCUGAGGAACCAUGGGGGGUCUGCCACACCAUCACAGGUCUCUGCAGAGGAGGAGGGCCGGCUCAGGGUGGAGGUCCUGUCUGGGGGGGCCUGCAUUGAGCCACUGAGUGGAUCUGAGAGUUCUUUCAUCAGCGUUUCAGGUCACCCUGUCCUCCUCCUGCCCGUCACCAAAACAGAACCAGAGAGCCUGAGUGGUGAUGAUACCGACAUCAGCGAUGCUCAUUUAGAGGGGGAGCUGCACGGCGGAAGCUUCCAGGAGAGGGCGCACUCUUUCCCUUUUGCUACUCGAAAUUUGGAGACACAGUCGGAUGACAUCAGAGCUCUUUACUGCAGCUACCUGAAGAAGGAGAUGGAGAACCGCGACCAGGAAAUGGCCUUCAGAGCUCUGAAAAUGAAGAAGUUGGAGAAAGAAAUCCUACUGCUUGACAAGCAACUGAUGUGACUCUUUACUUUUAUUUAAUCCUAUAUCAUAUUUAAGGUACACCUUUAGUAAUAAACACAACAUGGAUUAAUUUGUUGCCUUGAAACAUAUUUAGUCCCUGAAGGUAAUUUCAACCCUGCUGAGUAUAUUCGAUGGAGAUGCAGAGUGUUUGUUCAGCUAGGUGAAAAAAGGUCAUGUGUUUUUAUUCCUGAAGUUUAGGAAAUUAAUUUAAAUUCCGUGUCAUAAAUGAUCAGUUUAUUUCCUUUUUUAAAAAAUAAAAAAACAAACAUUUUUCCUGUCAGUUGUUUUUAGCCUUUCAGACACAGCAGAAUUCUGAGUAUAUUUGUCAUAAAUUAUAGAAUGUGAUCACCAAAUCAAUUGGGAACUGUUUAUAAUUUUAUUUAAAUUAUUUAUACAUGUAUUUUGAAUCUAGAAUUGUAUUUUGUAUAAGGAUGUAUUUGAUUUUAUUUAUUUUUGUUGUGUUGUUAGCCUGGAAAAGAUCUGUUUUGCAAUGUAGAGUAAUGUAUCAUCAGCAUUGAAGACAAUAAAUAAUUUACAGCAGAUCAGACACUGAACUCUGGUUUUAAAGACGUCUGAAGCAUUGAACAUUCCCCACGCACAUAAACUGCAAACAAAUUUCAAUCCGCCCCAAACCCAUUUUAUUUCAGCUGUAUAUACUCAUUUGUGUGUAUAUAUAUUUGACCUUACACAUUUAUUAUUUAUCUAAUUUCACUCACGUUUUUCUUCAUUUUAUAUUUGUUGGCUGCCUAUUCUGGACACCAAAAUCGCUCUUCGUUUGGAUAAAAGUUCAAAGGAGGUGUGAUCUUAAUUGAAACUCUAACUUAAGUAGAUUUACGUUUGAGUUUCUUGUUUUCUUUGUUCAUAUGUGUUUUUACAUGUUUUGUAAUAACAAUUUAAAAAAAUUAAGCCGGCUGGUUUCCGGUCUUGAAAAUGCGCGCGUCCGCGGCGUUUUCGCGGAGCUGUUUCAAGUCAAGAUGGCGGACAGCAGCUUGGUGACGCGCUAGCACCACAAUUCUGGUUCCAGCCGUUGACCGUCUAUUCAGAACCCGAACCAGAACCUGAACUCUCUUCCCUGGGAAGCCUCACACCUGGUCGGAUAGAUUAUUUUAAUCGGCCAUCGGCGAUUGCGCGCUCUCGGUCGGCUCCAUAAGGCAUCCUCAAUCGAGCGUCGAGAUCCGGAUUCCUUGGCUUCUCGGGGAAAGUGACAGAAGAGUUUGAUCAGGUGUUUCACAGGGUUUUCAGUUUAACUGAAAGUGGUUAUGCUGGGUGACAGAAUCAAAAUUAGGUCCUACAAAAGACUGACAACAACUUGCAUGGGACUGACGUCAUACAUUCUAAGUUCUCUCAACAAAAACGAAAAAGUCGAAGUUUUCAAACGAUUCGCUACGGUUUAAUUAUGUUUCAGUGUAUGACUUUAAAAACAAAAAAAAAAAAACACUGCUUUUGAGCCAUAGCUUGUGCAGAUCAGGUUUUCCAUGUUUGUCCUGGGUCCCUAUUAAACAUGCAAGUUUAAUAAAAUCUUAAAUUCAGAACUGUACAGUUUUUUCCGGCGUGCAGCCAUCGGACGAAUCUAUAUUUCUACUUUUAAUCACAACCUUUGUUUUAGACCUUGUUAAAUCACAAUUCACAUCUUUGUAAUGAACUAAUUUAAAAUACAUGGAAUAAUAAAAUAUACAUUAAGAAAUCAUAAUGAGACAUUUAUUUACGUGUUUUUAGAAUCCUUUAUAUUCAAGUACUUGUUAUACUAGUUUAGAAUAGCUGUAAAAAAAAAAAAAGUAACUAGAAGGCGUUUACCCGGACGAAGGCGCGGCCCGUUUGUCCCUCUUCGCUCGCCGUAAUUUCACGUGACUUCUCCGUGUGACUGACCUGAAUUCCAAGACUGUCACGCUGAUUCGGUUCUGUUGGAAGCGUCCGAACAUAGCCCGAACCCGCGAACUUUAACGAGAAAAACACCAUGCUACGAGUGCGCGUGUUGAUGCAGGAGUGACGAUUCGGCUGCUCCCUCCUGGUUCGACCAGGUUCGACCAGGUUCUGAGUCCCGCUGGAGUU
ensembl:lncRNA